GACGAACGCUGGCGGCGUGCCUAAUACAUGCAAGUAGAACGCUGAAGAGAGGAGCUUGCUCUUCUUGGAUGAGUUGCGAACGGGUGAGUAACGCGUAGGUAACCUGCCUUGUAGCGGGGGAUAACUAUUGGAAACGAUAGCUAAUACCGCAUAACAAUGGAUGACACAUGUCAUUUAUUUGAAGGGGGCAAUUGCUCCACUACAAGAUGGACCUGCGUUGUAUUAGCUAGUAGGUGAGGUAAUGGCUCACCUAGGCGACGAUACAUAGCCGACCUGAGAGGGUGAUCGGCCACACUGGGACUGAGACACGGCCCAGACUCCUACGGGAGGCAGCAGUAGGGAAUCUUCGGCAAUGGGGGCAACCCUGACCGAGCAACGCCGCGUGAGUGAAGAAGGUUUUCGGAUCGUAAAGCUCUGUUGUAAGUCAAGAACGGGUGUGAGAGUGGAAAGUUCACACUGUGACGGUAGCUUACCAGAAAGGGACGGCUAACGACGUG
rnacentral:rRNA from 1 species